CUCAGGAUGAACGCUAGCUACAGGCUUAACACAUGCAAGUCGAGGGUUUGCUUCGGCAAACGACCGGCGCACGGGUGAGUAACGCGUAUCCAACCUGCCAUUCAUAUUGGGAUAGCCCUCCGAAAGGAGGAUUAAUACCGAAUAACAUAUUGUUGUUGCAUGAUAUCAAUAUGAAAGCUGAGGCGAUGAAUGAUGGGGAUGCGUUCCAUUAGGUAGUAGGCGGGGUAACGGCCCACCUAGCCAACGAUGGAUAGGGGUUCUGAGAGGAAGGUCCCCCACACUGGAACUGAGACACGGUCCAGACUCCUACGGGAGGCAGCAGUGAGGAAUAUUGGUCAAUGGGCGCAAGCCUGAACCAGCCAAGUAGCGUGAAGGAUGACUGCCCUAUGGGUUGUAAACUUCUUUUAUACGGGAACAAUCGCAGGUACGUGUACCUGUCUGCGUGUACCGUAUGAAUAAGCAUCGGCUAACUCCGUG
rnacentral:rRNA from 1 species